rnacentral:rRNA from 1 species
AUGGCACGGUGGCGUGCUGAAGGACGAAACAGCAGCAGCAGCAGGGCGCGGCCCCCAGCACGAGGGGCUCCUCCCCUGGUGGCGUUUGAGCGAGGAUGCAGUAGGAGCAUCUACAACCGGACAGCAACGCCAUGGAUAUUGGGAGCGCUUCGCCAUUGUCUGACUAAUGCAUGGCUAGUAUCUGACCAUUAUCUGGUGGCUCCAAUCCCACCAGUGCCGCCGGUCCUUGCUGCUGAUGCUUCUCAGGCUGAUCGGGAUGCCACCAAGGCUCUAGAUGAUGCUGCGGUUGAUGCUUAUGAUCAGCAGGUAUCCUCCUAUUCUGAUCCUCUUUCUGUCUAUCGGGAUGAUCUGUCAGCUUACACUCAGUGGUGCAAUGAUGAUGCUCGAUCUGCUGCUGUUCUCACUGCAAGUGUCCUCCCUCAGUUUGCUUCAGAGUUCAUGGGCCUCGGCACUGUUGCAGCAAUGUGGUCCUAUCUUUGUCAGCGCUAUCAACCCUCUGGCGAUGCUCUCUACCUCUCUGUGGUGCGUCAGAAGCAUGCUCUUCAGCAGGGUGACUCGUCUGUUGAUGAUUUCUAUUCACAGUGCUCUGCCAUCUGGCGUCAGCUUGACUCCCCGCGGACAGUUGUUUGUGGAACUUGUCGUUGCUGUCAGACUACUCGGUCCGAUUUGGAGUUUCAGCGGGUUCAUGAGUUCCUAUCACGUCUCCGCUCUGAGUUUGAGCCGAGACGUGCUCACUUUCUUGCCCGUGGUCGUGUUCCUAUCUCGGAGGUGCUUGCCAAGCUUCGUGCUGAGGAGACCCGCCUUCGCUCUGCCGGUUUGCUGGUGGUCCCGUCUGUGUUGGCUGCUCGGGCUCCUGUGUCGUCUGCUCGGCUCUCCGCUCCACCGCUCCUACCCACACCUUCAGGGGGGUGGGUCGCCCUGCUUAUACUGAGAGGGGCCGGUCACGCCGUGACACCUUCUGUGGCUACUGCUCUCGGCCAGGUCAUCCAGAAUCUGAUUGCCGUGAGAAGAAGCGAGACCAGAGGCGCUCCUCUUCCAUGUACUUUAUUUUUUUCUCAUGUUAGUUCAGAUGAGAUUAAGGUGAUGUGUUGGUUUAAUCAAAGGAAGAGAUGGAAUUCAGGCACGCAUUACCAACGACAAACUAUUGAAUAUUCUGAAGUGCACAAGAAGGUCGCUGCAGGUCCAUACCUGGCCGGAUCUACAUCGAUUUUAAGCCAGGUCGAUGCAAAAAUAAGCAAUUCUCACUAUUACGAGCCAGGAUCUCCACGAGUACGUUUCAAUGACAACAAGACCAGCCAAGCCAUAAGGCUCAGAAUUUCAAGACUCCAUGAGACUGUUGUGAUGGUGUCAGCUUCAGGAACGCACAAGGAGGUCACCAAGAUCGAUCAGAUGCCGGCUUCUUGA